UACGGAGGAUGCAAGCGUUAUCCGGAAUGAUUGGGCGUAAAGCGUCCGCAGGUGGCUGUGUAAGUCUGCUGUUAAAGAGUGAGGCUCAGCCUCAUAAAAGCAGUGGAAACUACACGGCUAGAGUGCGUUCGGGGCAGGGGGAAUUCCUGGUGUAGCGGUGAAAUGCGUAGAUAUCAGGAAGAACACCGGUGGCGAAAGCGCUCUGCUAGGCCGCAACUGACACUGAGGGACGAAAGCUAGGGGAGCGAAUGGG
rnacentral:rRNA from 1 species